rnacentral:rRNA from 1 species
UACGUAGGGGGCAAGCGUUGUCCGGAUUUACUGGGCGUAAAGAGCGUGUAGGCGGCCAGGCAGGUCUGUUAUGAAAACUGGAGGCUCAACUUCCAGACGUCGACAGAAACCGCUUGGCUAGAGUCCGGAAGAGGAGAGUGGAAUUCCUGGUGUAGCGGUGAAAUGCGCAGAUAUCAGGAAGAACACCGAUGGCGAAGGCGGGUCUCUGGGCCGAAAUUGACGCUGAGGAGCGAAAGCGUGGGGAGCAAACAGG